rnacentral:rRNA from 1 species
GACGAACGCUGGCGGCGUGCUUAACACAUGCAAGUCGAACGGAAAGGCCCUGCUUUUGUGGGGUGCUCGAGUGGCGAACGGGUGAGUAACACGUGAGUAACCUGCCCUUGACUUUGGGAUAACUUCAGGAAACUGGGGCUAAUACCGGAUAGGAGCUCCUGCUGCAUGGUGGGGGUUGGAAAGUUUCGGCGGUUGGGGAUGGACUCGCGGCUUAUCAGCUUGUUGGUGGGGUAGUGGCUUACCAAGGCUUUGACGGGUAGCCGGCCUGAGAGGGUGACCGGCCACAUUGGGACUGAGAUACGGCCCAGACUCCUACGGGAGACAGCAGUGGGGAAUAUUGCACAAUGGGCGGAAGCCUGAUGCAGCAACGCCGCGUGCGGGAUGACGGCCUUCGGGUUGUAAACCGCUUUCGCCUGUGACGAAGCGUGAGUGACGGUAAUGAGUAAAGAAGCACCGGCUAACUACGUG